rnacentral:rRNA from 1 species
CCUACGGGAUGCAGCAGUGGGGAAUAUUGCACAAUGGGGGGAACCUUGAUGCAGCAACGCCGCGUGGGUGAAGAAGUAAUCCGGUAUGUAAAGCCCUAUCAGCAGGGAAGAAAAUGACGGUACCUGACCAAGAAGCCCCGGCUAACUACGUGCCAGCAGCCGCGGUAAUACGUAGGGGGCAAGCGUUAUCCGGAUUUACUGGGUGUAAAGGGAGCGUAGACGGCAGUGCAAGUCUGGAGUGAAAGCCCGUGGCUCAACCACGGGACUGCUUUGGAAACUGUGUGGCUGGAGUGCAGGAGAGGUAAGUGGAAUUCCUAGUGUAGCGGUGAAAUGCGUAGAUAUUAGGAGGAACACCAGUGGCGAAGGCGGCUUACUGGACUGUAACUGACGUUGAGGCUCGAAGGCGUGGGGAGCAAACAGGAUUAGAUACCCGAGUAGUC